rnacentral:rRNA from 1 species
ACCGGCGCACGGGUGCGUAACGCGUAUGCAAUCUACCUUUUACAGAGGGAUAGCCCAGAGAAAUUUGGAUUAAUACCUCAUAGUAUAACAUGACCGCAUGGUCGAGUUAUUAAAGUCACAACGGUAAAAGAUGAGCAUGCGUCCCAUUAGCUAGUUGGUAAGGUAACGGCUUACCAAGGCUACGAUGGGUAGGGGUCCUGAGAGGGAGAUCCCCCACACUGGUACUGAGACACGGACCAGACUCCUACGGGAGGCAGCAGUGAGGAAUAUUGGACAAUGGGCGCAAGCCUGAUCCAGCCAUGCCGCGUGCAGGAUGACGGUCCUAUGGAUUGUAAACUGCUUUUAUACGAGAAGAAACACUGAUUCGUGAAUCAGCUUGACGGUAUCGUAAGAAUAAGGAUCGGCUAACUCCGUGCCAGCAGCCGCGGUAAUACGGAGGAUCCAAGCGUUAUCCGGAAUCAUUGGGUUUAAAGGGUCCGUAGGCGGUUUGGUAAGUCAGUGGUGAAAGCCCAUCGCUCAACGGUGGAACGGCCAUUGAUACUGCCAGACUUGAAUUAUUAGGAAGUAACUAGAAUAUGUAGUGUAGCGGUGAAAUGCUUAGAGAUUACAUGGAAUACCAAUUGCGAAGGCAGGUUACUACUAAUGGAUUGACGCUGAUGGACGAAAGCGUGGGUAGCGAACAGGAUUAGAUACCCUGGUAGUCCACGCCGUAAACGAUGGAUACUAGCUGUUGGAAGCAAUUUCAGUGGCUAAGCGAAAGUGAUAAGUAUCCCACCUGGGGAGUACGUUCGCAAGAAUGAAACUCAAAGGAAUUGACGGGGGCCCGCACAAGCGGUGGAGCAUGUGGUUUAAUUCGAUGAUACGCGAGGAACCUUACCAAGGCUUAAAUGUAGAUUGACCGAUUUGGAAACAGAUCUUUCGCAAGACAAUUUACAAGGUGCUGCAUGGUUGUCGUCAGCUC